rnacentral:rRNA from 1 species
UACGGAGGAUCCGAGCGUUAUCCGGAUUUAUUGGGUUUAAAGGGUGCGCAGGCGGGGGAUUAAGUCGGCGGUGAAAUUUUGCAGCUCAACUGUAAAAGUGCCUUCGAAACUGGUUUCCUUGAGUGUAGAUGAAGUAGGCGGAAUUUGUGGUGUAGCGGUGAAAUGCAUAGAUAUCACGAGGGACUCCGAUUGCGCAGGCAGCUUACUAAACUACUACUGACGCUCAGGCACGAAGGCGUGGGGAUCAAACAGGAUUAGAUACCCUGGUAGU